CCGCGGACGAACACGUAGGACGCCAUUUUGGGCCGGCGCAACGCGGGACGCGUCAGUGCGCAGCCGCAGGAAGGAGGCGCUUCAGAGCAGGAACUAACGGGGACCCGGGCGGGGGGCGGAGCGAGGCGUGGCAAGCAGGCAAUACCCUGUUUUCAAGACAAGAUCUCAUGGAGCCCAAACCAGUCUGGAAGAAGUGUACCAGGAACUAACCUUGAUCUCCUGAUCCUCUGAUCUGCUGAGGCAUGUGCCACCUUGUCUGGCCAUAGGUCAUAAACCUUUCUCCACUCUA